rnacentral:rRNA from 1 species
UGGGGAAUCUUGCGACAAUGGGGCGAAAGCCUGACGCAGCCAUGCCGCGUGAAUGAUGAAGGUCUUAGGAUUGUAAAGUUCUUUCGCCCGUGACGAUGAUGACGGUAACGGGAGAAGAAGCCCCGGCUAACUUCGUGCCAGCAGCCGCGGUAAUACGAAGGGGGCUAGCGUUCGUUCGGAAUUACUGGGCGUAAAGCGCGCGUAAGGCGGUUUUGCAAGCCAGAGGUGAAAUGCCUGAGCUCAACUUAGGAAUUGCCUUUGGGACUGCGAGGCUUUGAGGACGGGAGAGGUGAGUGGAAUUCCCAGUGUAGAGGUGAAAUUCGUAGAUAUUGGGAAGAACACCGGUGGCGAAAGGCGGCUCACUGGCCCGUUUCUGACGCUGUCAAGCGCGAAAGCGUGGGGAUCAAACAGGAUUAGAUACCCUGGUAGUCCACGCUGUAAACGAUGAGUGCUAGGCGUCGGCACGCUUGCGUGUCGGUGCCGCAGCUAACGC